rnacentral:tRNA from 1 species
GGUCCUAUAGUGUAGUGGUUAGCACGUCUGCUUUAUACACAGAAGGUCUUGGGUUCGUUUUCUCAUGGAGCCA